rnacentral:rRNA from 1 species
UUGAACUGAAGAGUUUGAUCAUGGCUCAGAUUGAACGCUGGCGGCAGGCCUAACACAUGCAAGUCGAGCGGAUGAGAGGAGCUUGCUCCUGGAUUCAGCGGCGGACGGGUGAGUAAUGCCUAGGAAUCUGCCUGGUAGUGGGGGACAACGUUUCGAAAGGAACGCUAAUACCGCAUACGUCCUACGGGAGAAAGCAGG